ensembl:snRNA U2 U2 spliceosomal RNA
AUCACUUCUCGGCCUUUUGGCUAAGAUCAAGUGUAGUAUCUGUUCUUAUCAGUUUAAAACGCAGGUUCUGAGACCCUGUGGCCCCAGAUGACCUAAAAGACCCUGGUCUCCACUUUUGUAUUUCCAGAGUUUCUUAUAAUUUAAAAGGACCUGUUGUUGCUGUGGAAACAGCAGUUCACUU